CUCAGUUCGGAUCGGAGUCUGCAACCCGACUCCGUGAAGCUGGAUUCGCUAGUAAUCGCGCAUCAGCCAUGGCGCGGUGAAUACGUUCCCGGGCCUUGUACACACCGCCCGUCAAGCCAUGGAAGCCGGGGGUGCCUGAAGAGUGCAGCCGCAAGGAGCGCCCUAAGGUAAAACCGGUGACUGGGGCUAAGUCGUAACAAGGUACC
rnacentral:rRNA from 1 species